rnacentral:rRNA from 1 species
AUUAUUAAUACUAGCUUAAACUUAUACAUAUUCACUAACCAAUAAAACCAAAACAUUUAAUAAUCUUAGUAUAGGCGAUAGAAAAGAUCUAAUUAUGCUAUAGAAAUAGUACCGCAGGGGAAAGUUGAAAAAGAAUUGAAACAAACCAUAAAAAUACAAAACAGCAAGAAUUAAUACCUGUACCUUUUGCAUCAUGGUCUAUCAAGUCUAUAUAAAGCAAAAAGAACUUAAGUUUUAUACCCCGAAACUAGACGAGCUAUUUAAGAGCAAUCAAUAGAAUUAAUCCGUCUCUGUGGCAAAAGAGUGGAAAGACUUUUAAAUAGAGGCAAAACACCUAACGAGCCUAGUGAUAGCUGGUUGCUCAAUAAACGAGUUUUAGCUCCAACUUAAAUCUUAUUAUAAUAAUAAAUCUAUUAAUAAUAAAAAAUUAAGACACAUUCAAAAAGGGGACAGCCUUUUUGAAACAGGAUACAACCUACAACAAAGGGUAAUGAUCAUAAACAACAAAGACUUAUACAUUAUAGUAGGCCUAAUAGCAGCCAUCAAUAAAAAAUGCGUCACAGCUAAUAAAUUAUAAUAAUCAAAAAUAAUGAUAAUUAUUCAAAACCCUAAAAACCAAAUGAGCUACACUAUAAUAUAUAUUAAAAAUUAUGCUAGAACUAGUAAUAAGAAAAUACAAUUUUCUCUAUUGCAUAAACAUAAAUCAGAACGGAACAACCACUGAUAAUUACCAAUAAUGAAUAUAAACCUUUUAACAAGAUUUACAACUCAAAUAACAAUGUUAACCCUACACAGGAAUGCAUCUUAGAAAGAUAAAACAAUAAAGAAGGAACUCGGCAAAAUAAAUUAAGCUUCGCCUGUUUACCAAAAACAUCACCUUUAGCUAAAAUUACAAAUAUUAAAGGCACUGCCUGCCCAGUGAUAUUAUUUUUAACGGCCGCGGUAUUCUAACCGUGCAAAGGUAGCAUAAUCACUUGUCUUUUAAAUAAAGACUAGUAUGAACGGCAAGACGAAAGCUUAACUGUCUCCUUUAUUUUAUCAAUGAAACUGAAUUUCCUGUACAAAAGCAGGAAUAAAUUAAUAAGACGAGAAGACCCUAUGGAACUUAAAACACGCAGUCACUUUAAGUUAUAUUAAAACCUGAACAUACUGUUUUUGGUUGGGGUGACCACGGAGAAUAAAAAUCCUCCGAGAUAACAAUUUUAGUAAUACAAAACAAAAAUUCAAAAUUUUGACACCAGACCCAAAAUAUUUGAUCAACGAACCAAGCUACCCUAGGGAUAACAGCGCAAUCUUCUCCAAGAGCACCUAUCGCCAAGAAGGUUUACGACCUCGAUGUUGGAUCAGGAUAUCCAGACAGUGUAGCCGCUGCCAAAGGUUUGUUUGUUCAACAAUUAAAAUCCUACGUGAUCUGAGUUCAGACCGGAGAAAUCCAGGUCAGUUUCUAUCUAUUUAUAAUUUUUUUCAAUACGCAAGGACCAAAAAAAUAGGACCAAUGCUCACAAACAUGUCCUAAAAACCAAUAUGAAAUAAAACUCAAUUUACAAUAUAAAAUUAACCCCAAGAAUAGGGACUG